rnacentral:rRNA from 1 species
AAGAAUUUAAAGGUCGAACAGACCUAAUUAUUGGGCUUCUGCACCCAAAACUAUUCUUAAUCCAACAUCGAGGUCGCAAUCUAUUUUGUCGAUAUGAGCUCUCAAAAAUAAUUACGCUGUUAUCCCUAAGGUAACUAAAUCUUAUGAUCAUAAAUUAUGGAUCAUAUAAACAUAAAUUAAUGAUUUUAUUAUGAAGAGUUUAUUUAUUCUUCAUGUCACCCCAACAAAACAUUAUCUUUUAAUAUAAAAAAAUCAACUAAAAAUUAUAUAAAAAUAAAAUGUUAAGCUCUAUAGGGUCUUCUCGUCUUAAAGAAAAAUUUAAGCCUUUUAACUCAAAAGUUAAAUUCUAUAAUUUAAUAAGAGACAGUUGAUUUCUCGUCAAACCAUUCAUACCAGCCCCUAAUUAAGAGACUAAUGAUUAUGCUACCUUUGCACGGUCAAAAUACCGCGGCUCUUUAAAACCUUAUCAGUGAGCAGGUUAGACCUCAAAAUAUAAUCAAGAGGAC